ensembl:lncRNA
UGCAGGGCUUCCACAGAGUUUUUCUUCUUUGGUGUGAAUCAACCAACUUGAAGAAUAAAUGUAAAAAGAUGAGGAUCCGGUAGAGAGGUAAAGAGAGGGGCUGAGCUGUUAACUGUUCACCACCUGGUGGUGAGUUGGAUCAGGUGGUGGGGAAGACGCUGGACAGACCUCCCGCAUCCAAAUGUAUAGUGAGGGUGGAAGAAAGAAGUAUGUGCCACCAUGUCGUCAAUCUUCGUGAUCAGGUCCUCCACCUGCUUUGUGUCUGUGCUUCGGUUGUUGAAGACGUGGAACCUGUUUCCACAGCUUUGGAUGACUUGUCGGAGCUCUGGUUUGGCUUCAACAGAUCCUGCAGGGCUUCCACAGAGUUUUUCUUCUUUGGUGUGAAUCAACCAACAUGAAGAAUAAAUGUAAAAAGAUGAGGACCCGGUAGAGAGGUUUUUGACAUUGAAGUCUGGAACCAAACAUGCUUUCAGGUGGAGGAGCAGCAGCACAGUUGGCCAUUGUAAACUGAGUGUGUAUCACCAUCUGCUGGACGUUUGAUGUAUUGACCUGAACGAGCCUUUGUUGUACCUGUGUGUGUUUAAUCUUUUGCAUUCUGCCAUUCAAACUUUAAUGAUUCAAACAAAAAAGUCCUAAUAUGAAAAUAAAAAAAGAACUUAAAUAAGAGUAAAAAGGAAACUCCUAAAAUUAAACUGAAGAGGUUUGAGUAAAAGGAAAAUAAUAAAUGCUUCGUGUCUUUUGUUUGCUCUGACUCUUGUUCUCAUUUUUAUUUCAAUAAGAUCUCUUCACUCAUCUUUUAUGUUUUAUGUGUAUAUCUUAGAUCAUUUCCUGUUUUAUUUUGAAAAUUUUAUUUGUGUCGCUUCAUAUCUUUAUAUGUAACUAUCUUCUCAAACACUCUGCAAACCAAUAAAUAAAUCCAUCCAUCCA